rnacentral:rRNA from 1 species
CCUACGGGAGGCAGCAGUGGGGAAUUUUGGACAAUGGGGGCAACCCUGAUCCAGCCAUGCCGCGUGAGUGAAGAAGGCCUUCGGGUUGUAAAGCUCUUUCGGCCGGGAAGAAAUCGCAUGGGCUAAUACCCUGUGCGGAUGACGGUACCGGCAUAAGAAGCACCGGCUAACUACGUGCCAGCAGCCGCGGUAAUACGUAGGGUGCGAGCGUUAAUCGGAAUUACUGGGCGUAAAGCGUGCGCAGGCGGUUUUGUAAGACAGGCGUGAAAUCCCCGGGCUCAACCUGGGAACUGCGCUUGUGACUGCAAGGCUAGAGUAUGGCAGAGGGGGGUGGAAUUCCACGUGUAGCAGUGAAAUGCGUAGAGAUGUGGAGGAACACCAAUGGCGAAGGCAGCCCCCUGGGCCAAUACUGACGCUCAUGCACGAAAGCGUGGGUAGCAAACAGGAUUAGAUACCCUGGUAGUCCACGCCCUAAACGAUGUCAACUAGGUGUUGGGUGGGUAAAACCAUUUAGUACCGGAGCUAACGCAUGAAGUUGACCGCCUGGGGAGUACGGCCGCAAGGUUAAAACUCAAAGGAAUUGACGG